rnacentral:lncRNA from 1 species
CAGAUUAUCAGUGCUGGUACAAUGAGGGCCACUGAGAGGAAGGACACGGUGGUGAUCCUGAAAACUGACUGAUGAUUUGAUGCACCUGCACAUGCGAGGUAAUGCAUAUUAGGUCUAUCUGAUUGAAAUUUUUCAAUGACAAGUUGAUUUUUUGUGUGAAGUUUUGGACUAGUCCCAUUAACUAGCUGAAAAUGGUGUCGACCAGACUCCCAUAUGGAUUUUGGUGCUUAUCGAGUAUAGAAUAAAUAUGCUUACGAUGUUCAUGAUUAAUUCGAUUGAUUGGGGCCUAUCCUAUUCGAACUAAAAAAUCCAACCUGGAAACUGUCUCUAUCCCAGAAAACCUCUCUUAUCUCAUUAUUGAGUUGACAUUUAUUUGUCAAAUGUGUUUAUUAUAAUGCCAUUGUUGGUAGAAUAUUAUUUCCAUUAUUCUGUUUGACCCAAUCAUCAAUCACAAAAAUGUCCUUCAGCCUCCUAAUUAUUGUCAUGUCCGAUCAAUAAUCACGGCAUGGAUUAAUCAUAAACAGGGAGGGAAGUUAGAAAAUAUCCUUACCUACUGGAUUAUUGAAACUUGAGACGUUCCAUGUCAACUCGAGCUUAAGGGGAAGCCCAUGUUCGUAUAGAUAUGAAACUGGUACUGGCAAUGUGAUAAUUUUCUUGCACAUGUACAGUCUCAUCACUUCGGAUUGGUACCGUGUUGCUAGUAUUCUCGUAGUCAAGUUGCUGAGGCAAUCGAUUGCAGUAGUCAAACCGGUAAAACUGGUUGCCUGAUUUCUAGGACAGCUGAGGAAGGUGUAAUUUUGAUAAGAAACAGCCGUAAAAGGAGAAGACGAAAGAUUCAAACUCAUAAGCCGUCUUGGGAGGCAAUUAUUUGGAUUAGUAAGUUGUAUUUGUCCUAUGUAGUAGGAAAUAUAUCCUACGAAAAACUGACCGGAAUAAGGGAGAUCCAGAACUGUUGUACCCUGAUUAAUGCUUAAAUUGAAUCCAGGACUCCCGCGAUUUCGAGACUGAUGGCUUUCUAACCAGAAUGGAAAGUGUAUAGAGAAGCUGCUGUUGGCACAAUAGGAAGAUGGACAAUUAUUUUC